rnacentral:misc_RNA from 1 species
GCUGUCAAAUUUUCAAAAGUUACUCAAAUAUUUAUAUUUAUUUAUUUGAAGAAAUUCUAUUUUAUAAAAGCUGAAAUAUGAAUAGUAUUACAGACGUAGACGUGGAAUCCCUAUUACAAGCUUUAACAAAACAUAGACAAAACACCGCAAAAGCCGUUCAAGAGUGUCUGGAAAACUGUAAAACUCAAAAAGAACUUUGUGAAGCCACAAAAGUACUCGAUUCAAGUUUACAAGAAAAAAUAACUUUAAUGAAAGACCUUGCCAAAUCAGAACAUGAUAAGUACAACAUUUUAAUAAACACCAUCGAAUCUAAUGAGGUUAUACUGAAACAAAAAGAAAAUGAUCUUGAGCAACACAAAACGAUUUUGGAUAAAAAGCAAAAAAAAAUGGAAAAUUUGGAAAGCACGCGGGCUACUCUGGAAGCCAAAUUGAAGGUACUCCAAGACGGAGAGAACUUAAGAGAAAUGAGAGAUAAAAUAUUAGCAUAUAAAGUCCUUACAGGUGUAGAGUUUGUUUAUUCUACCAAGAGAGUCAUGGGCACUGUGGCAAAGAAGGGUCAGGACCCAAAAGCUUUCUCAUAUAACCCCACUAAGUCUGACGAAGAUAUUUGCAGCAAGCUGUGGAGUAUGAUUUUGGAGGAUUAAAGGUCAAUAAUAAUAGGAAAAACCUCACCUAAA